GUAACUUACAAGAUGAUAAUUAAUGUGGUUGCCGAUGAUUCUGAAUAAAUACAGCUUUUAUCUCAGGUGUGCCAUUUUGAAGACUGAGACCAUAGAGUUUUAAGAAUAAAGGAGAGAGCCCUUGGGAAAUUCUGUAUUAUAUAUAGCAACUUUAAAAAAUUAACAUGACCAAAGAUGUUGCAGCUAGUCACCAGUCUUUUUGGAUCAUAACGUGACAUAGAUUUUAGCAUAUGAAAUAGAAAUGUGAAUCCUCAGAUGGAAUGAAAGGCCUGUACCAUAGACAUCUAAGCAUUUACACCCCGCUUGAAGAGUUUGAAAUGGACUUUACCACUGAGAAAUCAAGAUGGCAGCCCAUUAUGGGGAAUUGAGGAAAAUGGAUUAAUGCAAGAAUGCUGUAAUAUUAUACAACCAACACAGGAUUCUUUUAAUGUGGAU
rnacentral:lncRNA from 1 species